CCUACGGGAGGCAGCAGUGGGGAAUAUUGCACAAUGGGGGAAACCCUGAUGCAGCGACGCCGCGUGAGUGAAGAAGUAUUUCGGUAUGUAAAGCUCUAUCAGCAGGGAAGAAAAAAGACGGUACCUGACUAAGAAGCUCCGGCUAACUACGCGCCAGCAGCCGCGGUAAUACGUAGGGGGCAAGCGUUAUCCGGAUUUACUGGGUGUAAAGGGAGCGUAGACGGUAUGGCAAGUCUGAAGUGAAAGCCCAGGGCUUAACCCUGGGACUGCUUUGGAAACUGUUAGACUAGAGUGCUGGAGAGGUGAGUGGAAUUCCAAGUGUAGCGGUGGAAUGCGUAGAUAUUAGGAGGAACACCAGUGGCGAAGGCGGCUUACUGGACAGUAACUGACGUUGAGGCUCGAAAGCGUGGGGAGCAAACAGGAUUAGAUACCCCAGUAGUC
rnacentral:rRNA from 1 species